rnacentral:rRNA from 1 species
UUGUUUGAUAAAUUUCUUGUGAAAUCGUCAGGCUUAACUUGACGACGUGCGGGAAAGACUGUCAAGCUUGGAACCGGGAGGAGUCAGAGGUAUUUCUUGGGGAGCGGUAAAAUGCUAUAAUCCUUGAAAGACCACCUGUGGCGAAGGCGUCUGACUAGAACGGAUUCGACGGUGAGGGACGAAAGCCAGGGGAGCGAUCCGGAUUAGAUACCCGAGUAGUCCUGGCUGUAAACUCUGCGAGCUAGGUGUUGCACAUUCUUCGAGAGUGUGCAGUAUCGUAGCGAAGGCGUUAAGCUCGCCGCCUGGGAA